AUAGGAAACAAAAAGGCAUCUUUUUGUUUUUAAAAGACCUUCAUCGGAGGGUAUGCUUAAAGAGGGGCUUGCGCCACAUUAGUUAGUUGGUAAGGUAAAGGCUUACCAAAAUUAUGAUGUGUAGCUGGACUGAGAGGUUGAACAGCCACAUUGGGACUGAGACACGGCCCAAACUCCUACGGGAGGCAGCAGUAGGGAAUUUUCGGCAAUGGAGGAAACUCUGACCGAGCGACGCCGCGUGAACGAUGAAGUAUUUCGGUAUGUAAAGUUCUUUUAUUGAAGAAGAAAAAAUAGUGGAAAAACUAUCUUGACGUUAUUCAAUGAAUAAGCCCCGGCUAACUAUGUGCCAGCAGCCGCGGUAAGACAUAGGGGGCGAGCGUUAUCCGGAAUUAUUGGGCGUAAAGGGUGCGUAGGCGGUUAGAUAAGUCUAUAAUUUAAUUUCAGUGCUUAACGCUGUCUUGUUAUAGAAACUGUCUUGACUAGAGUGAGAUAGAGGCAAGCGGAAUUCCAUGUGUAGCGGUAAAAUGUGUAAAUAUAUGGAGGAACACCAGAAGCGUAGGCGGCUUGCUGGGUCUUUACUGACGCUGAGGCACGAAAGCGUGGGGAGCAAACAGGAUUAGAUACCCUGGUAGUCCACGCUGUAAACGAUGAGUACUAAGUGUCGGGGGUAACCUCGGUACUGAAGUUAACACAUUAAGUACUCCGCCUGAGUAGUGCGUACGCAAGUAUGAAACUUAAAGGAAUUGACGGGACUCCGCACAAGCGGUGGAUCAUGUUGUUUAAUUCGAAGAUACACGAAAAACCUUACCAGGUCUUGACAUACUCUGCAAAGCUAUAGAAAUAUAGUGGAGGUUAUCAGGGAUACAGGUGGUGCAUGGUUGUCGUCAGUUCGUGUCGUGAGAUGUUAGGUUAAGUCCUAAAACGAACGCAACCCCUGUCGCUAGUUGCCAGCACGUAAUGGUGGGGACUUUGGCGAGACUGCCAAUUAAAAAUUGGAGGAAGGUGGGGAUAACGUCAAAUCAUCAUGCCCCUUAUGAUCUGGGCUACAAACGUGAUACAAUGGCUAUUACAAAGAGUAGCUGAAACGCGAGUUUUUAGCCAAUCUCAAAAAGGUAGUCUCGGUACGGAUUGAAGUCUGCAACUCGACUUCAUGAAGCUGGAAUCGCUAGUAAUCGCGAAUCAGCAUGUCGCGGUGAAUACGUUCA
rnacentral:rRNA from 1 species